GAUGGGAGCUUGCUCCCUGAUGUUAGCGGCGGACGGGUGAGUAACACGUGGGUAACCUGCCUGUAAGACUGGGAUAACUCCGGGAAACCGGGGCUAAUACCGGAUGCUUGUUUGAACCGCAUGGUUCAAAYAUAAAAGGUGGCUUCGGCUACCACUUACAGAUGGACCCGCGGCGCAUUAGCUAGUUGGUGAGGUAACGGCUCACCAAGGCAACGAUGCGUAGCCGACCUGAGAGGGUGAUCGGCCACACUGGGACUGAGACACGGCCCAGACUCCUACGGGAGGCAGCAGUAGGGAAUCUUCCGCAAUGGACGAAAGUCUGACGGAGCAACGCCGCGUGAGUGAUGAAGGUUUUCGGAUCGUAAAGCUCUGUUGUUAGGGAAGAACAAGUACCGUUCGAAUAGGGCGGUACCUUGACGGUACCUAACCAGAAAGCCACGGCUAACUACGUGCCAGCAGCCGCGGUAAUACGUAGGUGGCAAGCGUUGUCCGGAAUUAUUGGGCGUAAAGGGCUCGCAGGCGGUUUCUUAAGUCUGAUGUGAAAGCCCCCGGCUCAACCGGGGAGGGUCAUUGGAAACUGGGGAACUUGAGUGCAGAAGAGGAAGUGGAAUUCCACGUGUAGCGGGAAAUGCGUAGAGAUGUGGAGGAACACCAGGGCGAAGGCGACUCUCUGGUCUGUAACUGACGCUGAGGAGCGAAAGCGGGGGGAGCGAACAGGAUUAGAUACCCUGGUAGUCCACGCCGUAACGAUGAGUGCUUAGUGUU
rnacentral:rRNA from 2 species